AACGCGCAAAAUAUCCCUCUCUCUCUCCUCAACUGCCUCGCUUCCCUCAUCCUCUUUUCUCUCUCUCGCUCUCUCUCUCUCUACACUCAUGAGAAGCUGAACUGAGAGCCCCGUCCUUCCCAAAACCCUGCAAAUCCACCAAAUUCCAUGGCGAAAACCCUAAUCUCAACCCCUUCCUUCACCGGCACGCCUUUCCCUUCCCUCUCUCGCCAUGGCCUCCGCACCUUACCUCAUCGCAGACUCAUAUCCACCAGAGUCAAGCUCAGCUUCCAUGAGCUUCCUCCAAUUCACUCCUUCGACUCUUCUUUUGAUUUCAACGCAAUUGUUAGCAGAGCGGAGAGCCUCCUUUACACGCUCGCCGAUGCCUCCGUCGCCGUCGAUUCUGCCUCCGGUGAUGCCGCCGUUCAGAAGAACGGAGGCUGGUUCGGUUUUGUCUCUGACGCCAUGGAAGUUGUCUUGAAGGUACUGAAGGAUGGACUCACAGCAGUGCAUGUACCUUAUGCCUACGGAUUUGCAAUUAUUUUGCUCACGGUUCUCGUUAAAAUUGCAACUUAUCCCCUGACAAAGAAACAGGUUGAAUCAACACUGGCAAUGCAAAACCUUCAACCAAAGAUCAAAGCGAUCCAAGAAAGAUAUAAGGGAAAUCAGGAGAGAAUACAACUUGAGACAUCACGGCUCUAUAGGCAAGCGGGGGUUAAUCCUUUGGCAGGAUGUUUGCCUACUUUGGCAACAAUACCAGUCUGGAUUGGUUUAUACCAAGCUCUUUCAAAUGUGGCAAAUGAGGGACUGCUGACAGAAGGUUUCUUUUGGAUCCCCUCCUUGGGAGGCCCAACUACGAUAGCUGCUCGGCAAAGUGGAUCCGGAAUUUCUUGGCUUAUUCCGUUUGUGGAUGGCCAUCCACCACUGGGUUGGCACGACACUGCAGCGUACCUUGUUUUGCCUGUCCUUCUUGUUCUUUCUCAGUAUGUUUCAAUGGAGCUCAUGAAGCCUCCACAGACUGAUGAUCCAGCUCAAAAGAACACACUUCUCAUUUUCAAGUUUCUCCCUCUCAUGAUUGGUUACUUUUCCUUGUCUGUCCCAUCAGGACUGUCAAUUUACUGGUUCACGAACAAUGUCCUUAGCACUGCACAACAAGUAUGGUUACGCAAAUUAGGCGGUGCAAAGCCUGUUGUAAGUGAGAAUGCAAGUGGCAUCAUCAGUGCAGGACGUGCUAAACGAUCGGGCUCUCAGCCAGCGCAGCCUGGUGAUAGGUUUAGGAAGUUAAAGGAUGAAGAGAAGAAAAAAUUGAGCAAGGCACUGCCUACAGACCAGGUUCAGACUCCGGCUUCUACAGAUGCUUCUGAAGACGGUUCAGAUAAAGAGACUAAUGCCAAGGAUGAAGAGGUUUUAGAUGAGGUGUAUGCUUCUAAUGGAACCAAACCGGCUCCAGAUUAUUCUAGGCCAAAGAGGAGUAAGCGAUCAAAGCGGAAGCGUGCGAAAGGGAGAGAAUACUCUUUAUACUUACCCAAGCGGUGAAAAUUUGUCCAUUGGUCUGCCUUGAUCCGGGUUUUGCAGGUCUGAGCUUGAAAUCAACUAUACAUGGAUCGCAAUUGCAAAGCAUUAGAUUCAAUAAUGAGUUGGAAGAGAAGGCAGGGGUGUCUUGCCUGAUCGUGUAGCUUGAACCUUGGUAUGGCAUUGAAAUGCAAAUGCUGUAAGCAGAAGCCAUAGUAAGAGAAGAUGGAUUAGAGUCUGUGCUCUCCUCAUCUGGGGCUUGAGCUUGAGCUUUGGUU